AUGAUGGAAGGUUUUGCUGGGAAAACGGCCAACAGACUGAUGGAUGCCCUAAAGGACUCUGACCUCCUGCACUGGAAACACAGCUUGUCGUAACUUACUGAUAUCAGCAUUGCACAGAAAACGGCCAUCUGGAGGCUGUACGGCCUCAGCACCAUGGCACUGCAUCAAGCCCAGAUGUUGCUGAGCAUGAACAGCCUGGAGUCGCUGAAUGAGGGUGUGCAGCAGAACAAUACUGAGUCCUUUGCCUUCGCUCUCUGCCAUCUGCUCUCUGCCAUCUUGCAGAGCUCCAUGCAGAACAGAGCUGUUUCAUGGCUGCUGGUGAAGUAUUAAAGCACUUGAAAGACCGAUUUCCACCCAACAAUCAGCACGCCCAGAAAUGGAUGCUGUGUGAUCAAAAAAUACAGUUUGACAGAGCACUGAAUGAUGGCAAAUUCCAUUUGGCUGAUUCACUUGUUACAGGAAUCACAGCGCUUAAUGGCAUAGAAGGUGUAUACAGGAAAGCAGUCAUACUGCAAGCUCAGAAGCAAACGACAGAGGCACACAAGCUUCUGCAGAAGUUGAUGACGUACUGUCAGAAGUUAAAGAACACAGAAAUGGUCAUUAGUGUCCUUCUGUCAGUGACAGAGCUGUACUGGAGCUCUUCUUCCCCGACCAUUGCCAUGCCUGUGCUCCUGGAAGCUCUGGCCCUCUCCAAAGAAUACCAAUUACAGUACUUGGCCUCUGAAACUGUGCUCAACUUGGCUUAUGCCCAGCUCAUCCUUAGAAUCCCAGAAUAGGCCUUAACCCUUCUCCACAUGGCUAGCUGAUGGGGCUAUCCUGGACAAAGGUCGUGCCAUGUUCUUAGUGUCCAAGUGCCAAGUGGCUUCAGCAGCUUCCUAUGACCCAGUGAAGAAAGCAGAAGCUCUGAAAGCUGCCAUUCAUAACCUCAGUGAAGCCAAGAACUACUUUGCAAACGUCGAAUGUAGAGAGCGCAUCAGGGAUGUUGCUUAAUUCCAUGGCACAAUGGUUCCUCUCCCUUGGCAAGACCCGGGAGAGGAACCAUUGUGCCAUGAUCUUCCGGCAACUGCACCAGGAGCUGCCAGCCGAUGGGGUGCCCUUGAUUAACCAUCUCUAG